UACGUAGGGGGCAAGCGUUGUCCGGAUUUAUUGGGCGUAAAGAGCGUGUAGGCGGUUUGGUAGGUCCGCUGUGAAAACUCGAGCUCAACCUCGAGACGCCGGUGGAAACCAUCAGACUAGAGUCCGGAAGAGGAGAGUGGAAUUCCUUGGUGUAGCGGUGAAAUGCGCAGAUAUCAGGAAGAACACCCGUGGCUAAGGCGGCUCUCUAGUACGGUACUGACGCUGAGACGCGAAAGCGUGGGGAGCGAACAGG
rnacentral:rRNA from 1 species